rnacentral:tRNA from 1 species
CUCUCCUUAGUCCAAUGGGAGUGACGCCGGGCCUUCAACCCGGAGACGCGGGGUUCAAUUCCCCCAGGAGGGACCA